rnacentral:misc_RNA from 1 species
AAAAACCAAACGCGCACGAUAGCACGGACCGAGUUUUAAAACAUGAUUAGAUUAGUUAUCGUUUAUAGCAAUUUAGCAGCAGAAAUUAGUGAUACUAAUGACAAUUAACAAAUAGAAAAGCACGGAAGUCACUUUACAGAGGUCUCUCUCGUUAUUCCCUAAUCUCCUUGUUGUUCGAUGCAAAACUGAAGAACUAGCAAACCCUGAGUCUAGAUUUCUGCGGUUGUUGUUUUUGAUCUGGUCGAGGAAAGAAAAUUAUUUGUUGAAUUGUGGGAGAGAGAGAAGAGGAUAUGGUGGGAUGAGGUGGCGGAGAGGGGAGAGGUGGAGAUGGCGAGGGGAGUGAAAUGGGUAUGCCCGUUUUCGUACAAGAGAACAACUCUUAUAGUUUGCUCCAUCAACAUUGCUGUUGCUCUUUACGUUCUUCGCUCUCUAUACAGCUCACUUUAUAUAUACUCCAAUAAUGAUUUAAAUAGCGUUGUAAGGUAUACACCGGAUCAGAUUAGUAGGAUGGAAGAAUCAAUUCGGAUACGAAGAGCCAAUGAACCUCUACAGCUUGUUAAAUUGGUAAGAAAUUUGAGCUAUUUCGUUAUUUGGGCUAUUGGGUUAUUUUUAGUUCGAUGAUGGGUGACGAGGAGGAUGUGAGGAUUUUGUUGAAAGGUUAAGCAACUUAAGGAGGAGCUUAAGAGAGAUGAUAAGUCGGUUGAAUUACCUAUGGAGGUCAGACGGAAGUUAACUGAUGAGAUUUUGCAGCGGUUGAGAAGCUUGAACGCGAAUGCCAAUAUCACUGAGCAGCGAGGCCCGUUUCCGUCCAACGAAGCUGUGACCGCCAACGCAGCUGUGACCGCGAUUUAAAACCAUGGUGACAACUUUAUUUUUGCAGCUCAGUCACGGGGACAUUUAGCUGCUGCUCUCUAUCUUUUUAUCUCUCUCUUCAUGCAGAUUCAAUUUCUUCAUCUGCAUCAAUGUUAAUGGUUAUAUCUUCUCUUGAACAUUUUCAGAUUUAAGAUUGCUUCCUUUUCUUUCCAAUUGAUGCUGUCUUGUUUUUCCUGCAUUGCUGUCAUGCUAUUGUUCUUGAGUCUCCAUUUGCUUUACAAAUUGAAGUUUGCUACCUUGUUUUCUGAUGUUCUCCUUGUUCACUUCAGCCUCAAACCAUCUAUGGUGAUUUAGCAAAACUAUUAUGAUACUGGAAAAGUGCACUCUUGAUCUUGCUGCUGCUUCUGAAGCAGAGUUGGUGAUUUGAGUACUUUGCUUGGGAACAAAUUCAAAUGUGUGAAGGAUUUUAAGAAUAAUGCAGAAUUUGGGGCUCAGGUCCCUGAUCAAAAGAUUCAAAGUUGUUGAAUUUUUGGAUGACUGUCAAAGAAGGAAGGGAAUGUGUAUUUGUAGGAACAUCAAUGAAGGAAUGUUGAUACAUAUCAAAAAUUAAAAGAGUGAGAGUUGAAAUGCCUGAUUUAGAAAUUAUAAAUAGGUGGAAGUAAUGUGGAGGUGGAUGUGAUAAAACGAAUGUAAGGAACAUAUUCUGUUACCAUGAGGCUUUUGUGUUGUAAAAUCUAGGUAUCAAUUUUGUAAUUUCCACAAUGGAAAAAGAUUCUUGCUUGAUGGAAGGCUGGAAUUUGCAAACUCAUAUAAAAAGCAUGCAUAUGAUACACGUGCACAUGCAUUCAACUCAACUAAUUUUCAAUCCUUGUCUUAUUGGGGUAGAUAUAUGCACGUUUCUUUUGGUGGCCUUUUGUGAAAACCCAGAUCCUGGUCUGCUACCUCUUUCUAGUAGAUACAUAAGUUAUUGGCAGUUAUGUUGAUGUCCAAAUACAUUUUUCUGAUGUCCUACUUUAUUUUCUGCUAUAAGUUAACGAUACUGGUAAUAACUCCUUAAUUGCGCUUAGCUUUGUGCUUAUGUGAGUUCUGCCAAACUUUUAAAAUGUGAACAUGUAAGUAUUUUGCGGAAAUGCUCUUGUGUUCCUAAAAACAUCUCCUACUAGAUGGGUAAAUGUUUCAUGGAAGUCUUAAGUGUACCCCUCGGAUGAUGUUGUACUAAAAAUGCCACUGUUCAAUAUGAUAUCAUUAAUCAUUAGCUGAUACUAGAACUACAGUCUCAGGGAAGUACUUAGUUUUAUGCUUGCUAUAACUGCUUGAUGAGUUUGAAGAACCAAUUUAAGGCUACAUUUUAACAUUACAGUUUUAUCCUUGCUUCUUGUGAUAAAUUUUAGGUGAUGUGGCCAAGAUAAGAGUUUUAAGCUAACUCAUUUAUGGCUGGCCAAAAUAAUGGCUUCAGUUUGUUUGUUUAUUUAUUUCAUAUCUUGCUAGUUUUCUUCUUUGGAUUCUUGUUUUGGUAAACAGAAGCUAUUGAAAGCUGGCGCAAAGAAAAAUUGCGUGAAGUCAAAGAGUUGACCGAUGGAACAGGGGGACUGAAUUCAACUAAUCUGCAAGAAGAAGCCAGGAUGAUAGUAAGAGCCUUGGACUCUGAUUGGGCUGUGCUGUUGGAAAAAAUUGGCCUUUGGAUACCUGUUGAAGUCAUUAACCAGGAGCAUGAUGAUAAGCCAGAGGGUGAAGAAGAGUCUGAGGAAGAAAUUUUGCCUGGCAGGCCACUUCCACCUGAAUGCCAUACUGAGCUUCAUACUGAUUAUGGUGGUGCAGCUGUCAGAUGGGGUCUUACCCACCAUAAAGAAAGUGCAGCUGACUGCUGUCAAGCUUGCUUAGAUCAGGCAAAAUAUGCAAAGCCAGGUGAAAUGAAAUGCAAUAUGUGGGUCUAUUGCCCUUCAGAGAUGGGAUGCUAUUCACCAGAUAUCUAUCAGCAUAAAAAUCAGGAGUGCUGGCUGAAAUAUGCUGAAAAGCCAAGAUUGAAUUUUAAGGACAGGUAUUCCGAAUCAUAUAGAAACUCCCACCCAAAUGCACCAUUGAUUGUUCCCUGGGUCUCGGGUGUUGUUAAUGCAUGAUUGUAUUUUACCAACCCAAAUGAUGAUCAAUGUUAAAAAGUAACUUGAGCUGCAGUCUCUACCUCUGGAAGUUUUGCAAAGAUAUGAUGCUGGCCCUGGUGAUACCUUGAUUAUUCAUUGCUUACAUCUGGAACUGGCGGAUUUUUGACUUUAAUUCAUCUUUUCUUUUCCUUUGUUACGUUGGGUUUUGAGGAAAGAGAAUGGUUGAGGAGUGUGAUUCCUCGUCUAUUUAAUCAUUUUUGUAACAUUCAUUGCGGCGUCCUGGCACUGGUGAUUCUAAAGUUCUGAAAUCUAGUUCCCAGGUGAAUUGACCUCUUUACUGUUAACAUGAAGAACUUUCAUUAUGGAUUAGCCUGAGAAGAUUGAUUGGCCGUAGGAGGGAUGAGAAAAUUGACUCCUUGUAACGGUUGCAAAUUCGUAAGCAAUGAAGAACUAUUGCAUAUUCCCAAAUUCAUUCUGUUAUGGUAAAUGGUUUCCGCAGCCCUGCGUCUCUCUUUAUUUUUUUGGGAUCAUGAUGGAUGCUUGUAUAUUAUUUGUUUCUUUUCUUUUUUUUUCUAAAAAAAAUAUAAUGGAUAUAUUAAGCUCAUUAAAUGGAAAAUAGAAAAUAUUCUGCUUUUAAUAUUGU